CCCAUCAUGGUCUACCUUCAUCGUCUGUUGAUUGUACUUUUUAUACUUCUUUCGAGUUUUCCUUUUUGAUUUUCCAGUGGCUGUAUUUUAUCUUUAGAAGUGGCAGCUCAGUCCAUCGCUCACGUGUAGAAAUGAUCCUUGUUGUUAAACGACGCUCAGAGCCUGCUUCCUCCUGCACACAGACACACAUACACGGGAGUCUUUAGGUGCGAUUUGAGCACUUUGUACUCUGCUUAAGGCUUUAAAAGGCUGUGAAGAAAGACUGUUUAAAUUGUCUUUCCUAUUUGACUUUAGAUGGAAAGUAGAGCUGCUUUUUUAGGAAGUAGCCCAUUUUUGCGCUUCGUUUUAGUCCGUGCUCCUUCAGCGGUAGUCCCACAGUUGGAUGGAUAUCUGCGUCUACCAAUCACAAGAGAGAGGGCUUAUUCUUAUUGUGUUUGCAAGUUUAUGUCAUUUUUGAUUAAUCAGGAAAUUUCUGUGGUUUUUAACGUGGCUCAAAGUGGAAGGAGAAACACCCGUCUUUCACUUUUUAAGCUCUUUUUACAAAGUGUGUUUGGUAAAGAUGAUGAUGUGAUACAUACAGUAUAUCUCUGCUCUCAAUAAGCGUCUGCUUUGGGGUUUGUUUUUUUUAUUAUUUUAAUUGAAAGCUCAUGUAUUAUUGUAUUCGUUAAAGGAAUAGCUGGACAUUUUGGGGGAAUGCAGCUAACCCGCUGUCAUAUCUGUACGGUGAAUGUGAAGCUGGAGUUUAAAGCUAGUUUGGUAUUUCUGGCUUUUUUAUUAGUUUUUUUGUAUAAACUAAACAAACACAAUCUAACUGGUAUUAAUGAGGUGUUAAAGGUCCUGGCUGUCUUAUGUUUUUUAAAUGAAACCAUGCCAGAUGUUCCCCUCUCUACACUCUUUCUGUGCCUGCAGCUUCAUAUUCAUUGUAGGGAUAUGAGACAUUUUACAGAAUACUGGUCAAAAUGUCAGAGUAUUCCUUUGAGAACGAACAGUCUGUAUGAUAGACGGCUUGUGUAACGAGCACUUCGGCUCAGGCAUCGUCCCCUCCCUAGACAACGUGUCCAGCGUCUGCUUGUGUUUUUCGUAUGUUUGCAUGUUUGUUUGUUUGCCAUUGUGGUCGAGUCCCGGCAUUUAAGAAAAAAAAAAAAAAAGCACGUAUCACCGGUCACCUCAUAGAGUCCCGUCACAGUCCGAGUGUAGCGUUACUGCUUUGGGGAGGCAGGCAAAAUGGAUCCUUUUUAUUCUCUGGGAACUGUUUCAGUGCCAAACUCCUGUUUUGUCUGUUUUCAGUGAUGCUGAAAGUCGGUCAGUAUUGUAUGAGAAGCGGAAACGAGCCCAAACUUUGAAGCUUUGUCUUAAAUAGAGAAAAAAAAAAGUCCUGAGUGAUCUGCAGUUCAGGACACUGGAUUGUUUUAAGAGAUAACUGAGUUUUAUAUGUAACACAGAUGUAUAAACACACGUUAAUGUAGGUGUGUGUUUGUGGGGUGUAAGUGGGAAUUUUCACCAGUCAGUCGGCCGUGUUUCCAAACAUCCCCCCCCCCCUUUUUUUUCUCCUUCUUUUUUUUACAUGAAUGUGACCCUUAAAAGAGGAAUUCCUUUAUUUCACUCGUGUAUUUAAAUAUGGAAAAACGUAAAACUGUCCAGUGGCCAAUCUAUCCCCCACGACAAGUCUAAAAAAAAUUUCUCCCCCAUUCUCAGGUUAUUUAAGCUGUCUGAUUCACACAGCGUGUAGCUGUCUGUGCUCAGUUCUGACACUAAAAACCAAAAACAAGUUUGGAUUCCCCAGAUGUCUCUUGGUGUUUAUUUUUCAUUUUAUGUUUAUUCCCUUCUUCCCCCGCCCCCCCCAAACAAAGAUUAAAAAUUUAAUAUAUGAGAAUAAUUUAAUGACUCUGCUGCCACCAGCAUCACUCUCACUGAGGCUCAGACAACAGAUGCUUAUCAGUUUCAGAUAUGUGGAAAUCAUCUUGGGUUACUUUCACAUUCAGUGUAGCCAAGUCUCUACUGCUGCUGCUCUUCAUUUAAACAGGUAUAUAUACACACACAGAUAUAUAGAUAUAUAUAUAUGUAUAUAUAUAGAAAGAGAGAGAGAGAAAAUCGCACACUUGCCUCUUCUUGCUCAAAAAUGUCUUGUGUGUACAUUUUUGAGGAGGACAUCUGAAUAUGCAAUAGAAACACCAUCAUCAUAGCAUAGCAUAACAUUACAUUACUUCUUGUUUUCCUUCAUUUCUUUCCUAUAUAAGCUAUUUACAUACAGGAGACUGACUUUGAUCUCUGCAGGCCAGCUUUUCAGGAUAUUCAGGAAACAAUAAUCAGUCCACCCAGAUUGCACAAAAAACAACAGCCUGUUAGAUGUUUGACUACAAGGUGACCAAAGCAAGUGCAGACAGGACAAAUGUACAGUUUUGUUUCUUUUUACUCUAACGUGGAGGCUUUGGUCGGAUUGUGUAAUACUGUGAAUAGAAUAGGAGUCAGUCUAUUUCACACGCAAACUGUUUGUGAAAGUAAUCAACCAGCUUGAAUCUUUAAAAAUCAGAAAAGAAAAAAAAAUUUGCACUACCCAAAUAUUAUUUGAAAAUCUAUUUUGUAUAAAAACAUAUGCAGACAUUAACUUUUGAGAAUUAUCAAGGGCAGAUCAUCUUUCACUGGUAUAUGCUUUCUCUAAAGAGCUUUUCCGUUUGUUUUUGCUUCCAACCAGUUUAAUAUGUACAUAUAAUCAAUUGUAAAGAAAUAAUGUGGUGUAUUUGUCUCCAAAUAAGAGUUUUUCAGUACCUCCCCCCACCCCCUCUGUAUUAUUUCCACUCUGUAGUGUGAUCCUGUUGAUAUUUUUCCUCCAUCGAUUAAAGUUCAAACCUUUAACGUCUUUGUGUGGUACUUGUCGAAACGGGGACGUGUAUGAUGAUGUUUGCCAUCCAUUGCAGUAAAACUAAACUGUGGAAAUGGUAAUGCUUGGUGCAAGGCCACUUUUCAUGAUCACAGCAAGUACGUGUUCAUCAAAUAAACAUGCUUUUCCAUUCUGA
ensembl:lncRNA